rnacentral:piRNA from 1 species
UGGCAGGGGGCCGGGGCGCUGGGUGA